rnacentral:rRNA from 1 species
AGAGUUUGAUCCUGGCUCAGAACGAACGCUGGCGGCGUGCUUAACACAUGCAAGUCGAGUGCGCGGUUGUAGCAAUACAACUGGCGCACGGCGCACGGGUGCGUAACACGUGGGCAAUCUGCCCUCCGAUGGGGAAUAACCCCGCGAAAGCGGGGCUAAUACCGCAUAACAUUCCGGGGACUUCGGUUCCUGGACUCAAAGGCGUAAGUCGUCGGAGGUGGAGCCCGCGCCCGAUUAGCUAGUUGGUGAGGUAAUGGCUCACCAAGGCAAUGAUCGGUAGCUGGUCUGAGAGGAUGGCCAGCCACACUGGAACUGAGACACGGUCCAGACUCCUACGGGAGGCAGCAGUGGGGAAUCUUGCGCAAUGGGCGAAAGCCUGACGCAGCGACGCCGCGUGGGGGAUGAAGCAUCUCGGUGUGUAAACCCCUUUCGACUGGGACGAAUGCCUCGCAAGAGGAGUGACGGUACCAGUAGAAGAAGCCCCGGCUAACUACGUGCCAGCAGCCGCGGUAAGACGUAGGGGGCCAGCGUUGUUCGGAAUUACUGGGUGUAAAGGGUUCGUAGGCGGUGUAGCAAGUCGGGAGUGAAAUCUCUGGGCUUAACCCAGAGGCUGCUUCCGAAACUGCUGUGCUGGAGUGUGGGAGAGGCGCGUGGAAUUGCAGGUGUAGCGGUGAAGUGCGUAGAUAUCUGCAGGAACACCCGUGGCGAAAGGCGGCGCGCUGGACCACUACUGACGCUGAGGAACGAAAGCUAGGGGAGCAAACAGGAUUAGAUACCCUGGUAGUCCUAGCCCUAAACGAUCAGGACUUGGGGUGCCACCCGUUCGGGUGUCGUCCCGGAGCUAACGCGUUAAGUCCUGCACCUGGGGAGUACGGUCGCAGACUGAAACUCAAGGAAUUGACGGGGGCCCGCACAAGCGGUGGAACAUGGUGGUUCAAUUCGACGCUACGCGAGGAACCUUACCUGGGCUCGAAAUGCU